rnacentral:rRNA from 1 species
GACGAACGCUGGCGGCGUGCUUAACACAUGCAAGUCGAACGGAAAGGCCCUGCUUUUGUGGGGUGCUCGAGGGGCGAACGGGUGAGUAACACGUGAGUAACCUGCCCUUGACUUUGGGAUAACUUCAGGAAACUGGGGCUAAUACCGGAUAGGAUCUCCUGCUGCAUGGUGGGGGUUGGAAAGUUUCGGCGGUUGGGGAUGGACUCGCGGCUUAUCAGCUUGUUGGUGGGGGAGUGGCUUACCAAGGCUUUGGCGGGUAGCCGGCCUGUGAGGGUGACCGGGCCCCAUGGGACUGAGGUACGGCCCAGACUCCUACGGGAGGCAGCGGGGGGGAAUAUUGCACAAUGGGCGGAAGCCUGAUGCAGAAACGCCGCGUGCGGGAUGACGGCCUUCGGGUUGUAAACCGCUUUCGCCUGUGACGAAGCGUGAGUGACGGUAAUGGGUAAAGAAGCACCGGCUAACUACGUG